AGUCUUAUAUUCAAAUAUGAUAUUAAAUUGCAAAUUUAAAGGUAACAAUAAGUUUAAGGCUU
rnacentral:tRNA from 1 species